UUCAUUAGGAAUCUAUGUCGCUCAGGGUGCCCCACGACGGCCGUUCUACGUGUGCCCCACGAUCACAAACUCGCCAGUCUAAACAGUAGUCAGAGGUUAUGACUAAUACUAUUUAAUAGGUUACCCAUACUUACCAUAUUUGAAAUAGUAUUUUCGUUUAGUCCCCCUCAGUUACCCAUGUACAACUUAGUUAAAGCUCACCACAAUAAUCAGCGGUUAUGCUAGCACUAUCUGUCUAGCCCCCCCGACAGUCAUAUAACUACGUACAACUUAAUUAAAGCUGAGACAAUAAUCAGAGGUUAUGCUAGUACUCUUUGUCUAGCCCCGAUAGUUAAGAUUAACUACGUACAACUUAAAUAAAGCUCAAACAAUAAUCAGCGGUUAUGACCACACUACCUGUCUAGCCCCCCGACAGUUAUAUAACUACGUACAACUUAAUUAAAGCUGAGACAAUAACCAGCGGUUAUGACCAGUACUCUGACUAGCCCCCCAUAGUUACUGCAACUGAGUACAACUUAACUAAAGUCAAGCGGUUAGCCAGAAAUCUAAAACCUCACCUGAUGUGCCCCAUGCUCCAUCUAGCCUGAGUUUUAGUAUGCACUUAACCCUGGACGCAGAUUUGCGGAAACAUAGCCUUCACUUAAUCUACUUGAGGAAAUAAUUUCAGAGUAACUCAGAGUAAAUCAAAUGUAACAAUUUAUUAUCAGUCAGGUAAGUAUUAUGCCAAUUACAUAGCCAAUUCAGAGAUAUCAAAUCAAUACAAGACAUCAAAUUCUCAAAGGUGAAUCUAAGAGUAAAAGAUGCAUACCUGACUUUUAGAAAAAUACAUAAGUAUGAAGUGUGUGGACACACUUCAUGCUAAGGGCUCAUUCUGGCUACAGAAGGCCCUGAUCCUUUUGCUGCAAUCGUUUAAAUACCCCAGACCAAGACAAACAUCCCCCGAGAUGGAGACAGUAACAAACAAUAGGAAUUUGCAUUAACUCAGGUCCCAAGCCUGGGUGGUUUUACAACUCAAUGGGAACAGGAGGUAAUUUACAUGGAGGACCCUGGGAAGGGGCACUCCCAUUACAGUAGGCAAAAUAUCUCUUAACUCUUAGGAUCUGUAUUAUCUUUUAAUCUACUUUUGUAAGAUUGAGACCAUUGUACUAGUUGCACUGAGACAUUUCAAAUGAUACCAGACAUGACUGUUA
ensembl:lncRNA